GACGAACGCUGGCGGCGUGCUUAACACAUGCAAGUCGAACGGAAAGGCCCUGCUUUUGUGGGAUGCUCGAGUGGCGAACGAGUGAGUAACACGUGAGUAACCUGCCCUUGACUUUGGGAUAACUUCAGGAAACUGGGGCUAAUACCGGAUAGGAGCUCCUGCUGCAUGGUGGGGGUUGGAAAGUUUCGGCGGUUGGGGAUGGACUCGCGGCUUAUCAGCUUGUUGGUGGGGUAGUGGCUUACCAAGGCUUUGACGGGUAGCCGGCCUGAGAGGGUGACCGGCCACAUUGGGACUGAGAUACGGCCCAGACUCCUACGGGAGGCAGCAGUGGGGAAUAUUGCACAAUGGGCGGAAGCCUGAUGCAGCAACGCCGCGUGCGGGAUGACGGCCUUCGGGUUGUAAACCGCUUUCGCCUGUGACGAAGCGUGAGUGACGGUAAUGUGUAAAGAAGCACCGGGUAACUACGUG
rnacentral:rRNA from 1 species